rnacentral:lncRNA from 1 species
UAUCUAUUUCCCCCAGUGGCUAACACAGGCGGCCCAGGCGGUGUGGGGCUGCGUGUUCCUUCGGCGCUGACUCCCCCAAAUCCCCCUCCUUUCCUCCCCCCCAGAUGUCUGCCCCGUUGCUCUCAAGGUAAUCUAGACAGACGCAGCUGAAAGCCUGAAUCUUAUGCCUUAGACAUCAAAGAAAGCUCGCACAAAGAAGUAUUUCUUCACAACGGUGAAUCUUCAUGGUCAAUGCCGCCCAGAGGAUCGGCUCGCUCCUCACUGUUGCCAAACCUUCUCAGGGUCGCUGUGUCGGUGAUGAGCGAACGUGGAGAGACACCUCGGGGUGCCCGGGGAGAGGGUGGGGAUCCCGAGAGAGAUCCCGACGGCACUGCGCUGCCAGCGGCCCCUGCCCCCUCUCUGCUGCCCCUCGGGAUACCUGCUUGAGCCCUCCCUGAAGCCAAACAAAAGCGCACAUCUCCCCCUUCCCCUCCCCCCCUCCCCCCCCUCAUUCCCUCCUCCCCACCCAGCAUUUUUGGGAAGACCAAAAAAAAAAAAAAAAAAAAAAAGUAUUCUCCAACUUUUGACUAGCCUCUGCUGGCUUAAAUUAUCCUUUACCCUGGGGGACAACAGUGUAGCA